rnacentral:tRNA from 1 species
UGCGGGAUGGAGGAGAGGAAUCCUUGCGGGGUUCAUAACCCCGAGACGCGGGUUCAAGUCCCGCUCCCGCAACCA